rnacentral:rRNA from 1 species
AUUGAACGCUGGCGGCAUGCCUUACACAUGCAAGUCGAACGGCAGCGCGUCCUUCGGGAUGGCGGCGAGUGGCGAACGGGUGAGUAAUACAUCGGAACGUGCCCGAGAGUGGGGGAUAACGCAGCGAAAGCUGUGCUAAUACCGCAUACGAUCUCAGGAUGAAAGCAGGGGACCGCAAGGCCUUGCGCUCACGGAGCGGCCGAUGGCAGAUUAGGUAGUUGGUGGGAUAAAAGCUUACCAAGCCGACGAUCUGUAGCUGGUCUGAGAGGACGACCAGCCACACUGGGACUGAGACACGGCCCAGACUCCUACGGGAGGCAGCAGUGGGGAAUUUGGACAAUGGGGGAACCCUGAUCCAGCCAUGCCGCGUGCAGGAUGAAGGCCUUCGGGUUGUAACUGCUUUGUACGGAACGAAAAGGUCUUUACUAAUAAGAAGGCUGAUGACGGUAACCGUAAGAAUAAGCACCGGCUAACUACGUGCCAGCACG